rnacentral:rRNA from 1 species
AGCGAACGCUGGCGGUAGGCCUAACACAUGCAAGUCGAACGGACCCUUCGGGGUUAGUGGCGGACGGGUGAGUAACACGUGGGAACGUGCCUUUAGGUUCGGAAUAGCUCCUGGAAACGGGUGGUAAUGCCGAAUGUGCCCUUCGGGGGAAAGAUUUAUCGCCUUUAGAGCGGCCCGCGUCUGAUUAGCUAGUUGGUGAGGUAAUGGCUCACCAAGGCGACGAUCAGUAGCUGGUCUGAGAGGAUGACCAGCCACAUUGGGACUGAGACACGGCCCAAACUCCUACGGGAGGCAGCAGUGGGGAAUUUUGCGCAAUGGGCGAAAGCCUGACGCAGCCAUGCCGCGUGGAUGAUGAAGGUCUUAGGAUUGUAAAAUCCUUUCACCGGUGAAGAUAAUGACUGUAGCCGGAGAAGAAGCCCCGGCUAACUUCGUGCCAGCCGCCGCAGUAAGAC